CCAUGCUGCCGCCGCCGCCGCUCGCGCCGUCAUCGUUGCCCCAACCCACGCCUCCCGUUCCCCUUCCUCUCCCUCUCUACUUCUCCCUUGAUGUGGUGGCACAACAGCAAGCCCUGGUGGUGGCUGCCCCCAGGCCGCACGGCCGCAUGACGCGGCGCCGGUGGGCAACGCCGGUGGCCGUGAUUGUCGCCCGCCCCCCGCUCCGCCUGCACAGCCUCCUGCAAGCCGUACACGUGGCUCUUGCUCGAUCCGUCUGCUCGCUGAUAAAAGAGGUGGACUUCAGGUUCAAGGAACAAGAACAUGAACCAUCAGUUGUGGAAUUAAAUUUCAGCUAUACAAACAUGUUAUAGAUCGGUUUUUGUCAAUAUUACUAUUAUUUGUUUCGUCAGAUCAGGCUGAAGGAGCAAGAACUAAAGGCAACUCUUGAAUCAUGUGCUAUCUUCAAAUAUAUUAUAUAAUCGAAUUUGUAACCAACUUCCUGCCUUUUAUUUUCAAAACAAAAAAAUUAUGAUUUCCCAACAGUCCUGCAUUUAUUUUAUAUAUUUUUUCCCUUUCUUAGACCAUGUUUUUUUAACUUUACUUACGUUAAGGAGCUGAGGCUAAAGUUGAAGGAACGAGAACACCAACACUUAGUUGUGGAACUAAAGUUCUUUGGGGACUACAACAAACUCAGGUUCUACCCUCUUAAAACCAGGAUGAUAAUGAUGUCUUUGCCCACGGUGCAGUAAAAAUUCCUCAAAAAAAGGUUAUUACGGCUACACUGAAGGGCUUAUUUCUCUUUUUCUAAAGUGUGACAUAUCUGCCUAAGUGAAUCAAGUUGUAUUAACAAUCAAGAAGUGCAAAUUGAUACAAAUCAAGCUAGUUCUAGUGGCUCUUAUGAUGAUGACCAAAGUCAAAGUCAAGCUAGUGGAAACAAUCAACUCCCAAUACUCCAAUCUACAAGCAUAGCAAGAGAUCAUCCAUUAGAUCAAGUCAUUAGUGGUAUUCAAAGAGGUGUACAAACAAGAUCAAGGCUAGCAUCCUUUUGUGAGCACUAUUGAUAUGACCAUGCCACCAAGCAAGAUGUCACAAGCUCCAAGUCAAGCUACAUCCACUCAAGUUUUACCUACGCCGAGACCAGCCCAAAUUAUCAAUGGACCGAUUACACGUAGUUGUGCAAAGAAGCUACAACAAGAGG